rnacentral:lncRNA from 1 species
AGUUCUCCAACCCCAUAAAGUUAGAAUGCAGUCUGUGAGUACUCUCUGCUCUAAUCAAGAAGGAAGGGGCUUCAGCUUCAAAUGUCAAUGCUGUAAACAUGUUAAAUCUGGAAAAUAUUUUCUAAGCAAGCAACCAUGUGUAAAAUUUACCGAACUUGUCAUGAAAGGGCUGCAGCUGCAAACCUGCAAACUUCUCACUUCCAUGAAGACUCCAGAUGCUGAGACAGGGAAGAGAGGUUUCAGCUUGGCUCCCCAGCUGUUGCACCUUAGAGCUUUGCAUGCCGCCAUCUUCUCAGCGUUUCACCAGGUCAAAAAGUCUGAACGAUCCUUUCUCAGACAUGUCUCCUGAAUCUGGAUCAUCACCAUGCCACCCGGGGUAGGCUCUGGUCCUAACCGGCCUGGACUCUGAGCAACGGUGUCCUGACUGCUCUCCUGACAACUGUCACUCCCAGGCCCGGCCACUCGCCGUCUCAGCGCCCCCUCGCGGCCCUUCUCUACCCACCUCGGGACUUCCCAGGCCUCCUGGCUGCGCCGCAGACCCUCCCCGUCCCAGAUCCCGCCAGGGCCCACUCGGGCUCCAGCCGCUGCCUGGGACAGCCAAAGGCCGGCCCGGGCGGUUCUUCCCCAGGUGGUCCGGGGCGUCCCGGGCCGCACUGGCCUGGCCCAUGGGCCCCGAAGAAGGCGCUCACCCAAGGACCACUGUCCGAGCGGCUUCCCCCGGCCCGGCCUGGUGCCGCGUCCCCACCAGCCCGGGGUGGCAGGUUCUACUCGGGAAGCCUGUUUUAUGUCUUCUUUCACGCCCAUAUCACACCGACAAGGGUGAAGCUGUGGAACUUAUACCUCGGCUGGGCCCCGCCGCCAACUCCUAGGGCACGGGAACUGCGCACAGGCCGGGGUUCCGCGAGGGGCGGAGCUUCCCGCUCUGCCCUCGGGCAGGUGAGCCGGAGCCUGGCACGUGGGCCUGGGUGUCCUGACAGCCCUGGCCCCCGCCGCCUCUGUACCAGGGAGAGCGCCUGGAAGGCGCCGCUGCCUCUCUCUCCCUACGUGCCCACCUGCCUCUAGGAACUGAUGGCCAUAUCUGGAUGUAAACAAAACAUUGGAGCGAGUCAUUCCAGCUAAGACCGCUAAUACAAUGCUGGAUAGAAGUGGUGAUCACAGACAGUCUUGUUACUCAUUUGAAAGGGAAAGCCUUCAGUGUCUCAACACUAGAAGAAUUUCCACUACUGUGAACUUCCUGGCCUCUUACCAGAACCAAAUUAUCUGAUUUGAGGAUUUAAAAGAAGGAAACAGGCAUGCUUGGCUCAGCCUCUGUCUUUCUGGCUCUGCCUUUCUGCAGUGAGGAUGCAUCUUUUCUUGCUCACCUGCCAAUGCUAAAAGAAGACUUUAUGGGCUAGUGACAUGGAAGGUUUGUGUUGAUUCUGAUCUGCCUUUGACUGGAUGGAUAAGUUGAAUUCCAUAAUUCAGUAUUAGAAAACUCACUUGGCUCACAGCUACACCAUGUCCCCUAAUGUAACUUUUAUCAGCAAUAGCACUAUAGAGUAACAAAGUAACAGAUGAUGACCAUAUGUCUGACUCUAGUAUUUCUCUAUCAAAUGGUUCUGAGCUUGGGCAGGAAUGAAAAUGUAUUUACUGACAUCUCAAAAUGAUUAUAAUCACAAUACUGGGCCAUCCUGACCAUUUAUCAGAAGUCCAGAAGUCAAGAUUCCGUGGUCGGAAAUCUCUUUUGACCACCAGCAGAAGAAAAUAAAAAAGUCUGAAGCAACUGUAAAACAUACCUUUUUCCUCCAACGUAACCAAGAAGACUCGUCCUACUUUGUGUACCCACAAAAGCUACAAGAUCCAUCAACAGAAAUUAGUUUAUGAAAUCUAGAAUUGUGGGAAUGACAUUAAAGAGUCUCAGUGAAUUACUUCUUAGAUUGAAAUUUAAGAUUUUCCUGACCAUGCUCCCAGAGUAUCACCCCUUAACAAGAAGGCUCUUCAUUUAUAUGGUAUGAUGUCCAAAAAAUGGCUAUCAUUCUUUUAAAUCAUAUAAAAGUAUUAAUGAAAGUAUUAAAAGUUUUAUUUCAAUAAUUUGCUUCAGUGAAACCAUUAAAACUGUAGAAUAUAACUUUGAUAUUUAAAUAUUUUAAAUAUUAAUGGUUACCUUUACCACUGCUAUUAUUGUGAUCAACCAGCUUCUAUUUGUAGAAGAGUUAAAAGAGGUUAAAUGUCUUGCAAUGCAAUGACAUAAAUGUCAUGCAACACUACAAUGACAGAAUCUAAGACAAACAAAAAUUUAAAAUAUUUCUCUUAAUACUUUCUAUUAAAAAUAUUCUGAGCCAUUCUGCUGUUACAGGACACAUUUGUAAUAAAGUUCAUUUUAUUAUACUCCCCAAGUUUUUUAAACAAACAGAUCAAUUUCUAGGUGUUUUUAACAAAAGAAAAUCCGAGCUAUCGUGGUUCCAUUUUCCUCAUUGUUUAUUCAACUAUUCACUGACUUUUUGAGUAUCACUUAGUGUUUCAAAGUCAUGGCUUAAUUUCUUCUAUCCUGAAUAGUACUACAACUUACAAAUAUUAAAACUUAGAUUCAAUGCCAUCCGCAUCAAGCUACCAAUGACUUUCCUCACAGAAUUGGAAAAAACUACUUUAAAGUUCAUAUGGAACCAAAAAGAGCCCGCAUCGCCAAGUCAAUCCUAA